UUCCUGAUGUUUUGUCAGAAUCUCCUUUCUUGUAACUUGAAGCCAUUGGACCUGCCCUCCAGAGCCUGAGAAAACAAGCUUGCGCCAUCUUCCAUGUGACAGCCCUUGAUAUAUUUGAAGAUGGCUAUCACAUCUCCUCUCUGUCUCCUCUUUUCCAGGCUAAACAUCCCCAGUUACUUCAAGC